rnacentral:rRNA from 1 species
GAUGAACGCUGGCGGCGUGCCUAAUACAUGCAAGUCGAGCGAACAGACUAGGAGCUUGCUCCUCUGACGUUAGCGGCGGACGGGUGAGUAAAACGUGGAUAACCUACCUAUAAGACUGGGAUAACUUCGGUAAACCGGAGCUAAUACCGGAUAAUAUAUUGAACCGCAUGGUUCAAUAGUGAAAGACGGUUUUGCUGUCACUUAUAGAUUGAUCUUCGCCGCAUUAGCUAGUUGGUAAGGUAACGGCUUACCAAGGCGACGAUGCGUAGCCGACCUGAGAGGGUGAUCGGCCACACUGGAACUGAGACACGGUACAGACUCCUACGGGAGGCAGCAGUAGGGAAGCUUCCGCAAUGAGCGAAAGCUUGACGGAGCAACGCCGCGUGAGUGAUGAAGGUCUUCGGAUCGUAAAACUCUGUUAUUAGGGAAGAACAAAUGUGUAAGUAACUAUGCACGUCUCGACGGUACCUGAUCAGAAAGCAACGGCUAAAUACGUG